rnacentral:rRNA from 1 species
UACGUAGGGUGCAAGCGUUAAUCGGAAUUACUGGGCGUAAAGCGCGUGUAGGCGGCUCGGUAAGUCUGUUCUGAAAGUCCAAGGCUCAACCUUGGGAUGCGGAUGGAUACUGCCGAGCUCGAGUCCGGAAGAGGCGAGUGGAAUUCCUGGUGUAGCGGUGAAAUGCGCAGAUAUCAGGAGGAACACCAAUGGCGAAGGCAGCUCGCUGGGACGUGACUGACGCUGAGACGCGAAAGCGUGGGGAGCAAACAGG